rnacentral:rRNA from 1 species
GAUGAACGCUGGCGGCGUGCCUAAUACAUGCAAGUCGAGCGAACAGACGAGGAGCUUGCUCCUCUGACGUUAGCGGCGGACGGGUGAGUAACACGUGGAUAACCUACCUAUAAGACUGGGAUAACUUCGGGAAACCGGAGCUAAUACCGGAUAAUAUAUUGAACCGCAUGGUUCAAUAGUGAAAGACGGUUUUGCUGUCACUUAUAGAUGGAUCCGCGCCGCAUUAGCUAGUUGGUAAGGUAACGGCUUACCAAGGCAACGAUGCGUAGCCGACCUGAGAGGGUGAUCGGCCACCAUGGAACUGAGACACGGUCCAGACUCCUACGGGAGGCAGCAGUAGGGAAUCUUCCGCAAUGGGCGAAAGCUUGACGGAGCAACGCCGCGUGAGUGAUGAAGGUCUUCGGAUCGUAAAACUCUGUUAUUAGGGAAGAACAAAUGUGUAAGUAACUAUGCACGUCUUGACGGUACCUAAUCAGAAAGCCACGGCUAGCUACGUG